AUGGUCUUGAUCUGGUACGGCGUCGCCCACUUCAUUGAGCACCCACUCCCGCCCAACUUUGACGCCGCCACCCACGAACUUGAUGCCAAUCUCGUUCUCUGGAUCUACGCCACACUCGCCGAUCCCCUUAUUGACCACGUCGUCGAUGCCGCCUCCACGUACGAGCUCUAGGCUCGGAUUCGUGACUACUUCCUCGCCAAUCGGGCAGCCCGGUACAUGACACUCAACCGGCAGUACCACAAUCUCAAGCAGGGGGAUCUCUCCGUCGCGGAGUACGCUCGCCGCAUGAAGCUUCUCACCGCCGGACUUGCGGAUAUCGAUCACGCGGUCACUGAGGUGGAUCUCACCACCCAGUUCCUCCACAACAUCGACAAACGCCUCGACACCAUCCGCAUUGUUUUGGGCGACACCGUUCCCUUGUCGCCGUUCGAGACGGUGUUCUCCCGCCUUAAGCUUGCGGAGGAGAACCUGGCCUAGCGCACCGCCAACGAGCCCGUCACCAUCCUCUCCGUCACCGACGGUUCCGCUCCUCCUGGGAGCUCGUCCGGCCAGGCCGGCCCGUCGGGCACCCGCACCGGUGAUCGCGGUGACUGCUCCGUCGAGCGCGGUCCCGAUCACGGCGGCAUGGACACCAGCAAGGCCCCUGCUCCGGCACUCUCCAGGAGGGCAGUGACCGUGGACGCGGGCGCGGGCGUGGCCAUGGCCGUGGACGCGACCGUGGUGAUCAGGGGCAGCGCGGCUUCAACAACUUCUCUGCGCCCCUGCCCAAUCCCUACAUGGACUUCUUCGCCCCCUACGAGAUGGCACUGCCCAAUCCGCGCCCCAACUGGGUUCCUCCGAACUCUGCUGGCGUGCUCGGUACGUGGCCCGGCUCGCAUGCUCAGGCCUACCAGAUGCAGUUCUCGGGCUACCCUAGGCCGCCUCCUCCACAACAGCCGUCGUGGGAUCACCUCGCGAUGCUACAGGCCGCCUACAACGCUCACGGCUUCCCCAACACUGGCUCUGCGCCAAAUGAAUGGUACCUCGACGGCAGUGCCACGUCCCACGUCACCGGCAACCCUGGUAACCUCGACCACUCUAAUUCUUCUUUAA
rnacentral:rRNA from 1 species